rnacentral:rRNA from 1 species
GACGAACCGUACGAACGUUAUUCGGAAUCACUGGGCUUAAAGGGCGCGUAGGCGGCUCAUGAAGGCUGUGGUGAAAGUCCGGGGCUCAACCUCGGAUCGGCCGUGGCGACUCGUGGGCUGGAGCACUGUAGAGGCGGGUGGAAUUCCGGGUGUAGCGGUGGAAUGCGUAGAGAUCCGGAAGAACACCAGUGGCGAAGGCGGCCCGCUGGGCAGUGGCUGACGCUGAGGCGCGACAGCGUGGGGAGCAAACAGG